UACGGGGGGGGGCAAGCGUUGUUCGGAAUUACUGGGCGUAAAGGGCUCGUAGGCGGCCAACUAAGUCAGACGUGAAAUCCCUCGGCUUAACCGGGGAACUGCGUCUGAUACUGGAUGGCUUGAAUCCGGGAGAGGGAUGCGGAAUUCCAGGUGUAGCGGUGAAAUGCGUAGAUAUCUGGAGGAACACCGGUGGCGAAGGCGGCAUCCUGGACCGGUAUUGACGCUGAGGCGCGAAAGCCAGGGGAGCAAAGCGGG
rnacentral:rRNA from 1 species